rnacentral:rRNA from 1 species
AACGAACGCUGGCGGCAUGCCUAACACAUGCCAGUCGAACGAGACCUUCGGGUCUAGUGGCGCACGGGUGCGUAACGCGUGGGAACCUGCCCUUAGGUUCGGAAUAACUCCCCGAAAGGGGUGCUAAUACCGGAUAAUGUCUUCGGACCAAAGAUUUAUCGCCUUUGGAUGGGCCCGCGUUGGAUUAGCUAGUUGGUGGGGUAAAAGCCUACCAAGGCGACGAUCCAUAGCUGGUCUGAGAGGAUGAUCAGCCACACUGGGACUGAGACACGGCCCAGACUCCUACGGGAGGCAGCAGUGGGGAAUAUUGGACAAUGGGCGAAAGCCUGAUCCAGCAAUGCCGCGUGAGUGAUGAAGGCCUUAGGGUUGUAAAGCUCUUUUACCCGGGAUGAUAAUGACAGUACCGGGAGAAUAAGCUCCGGCUAACUCCGUG